rnacentral:lncRNA from 1 species
CUGGUUCCUAGACGACCAGACAGUGGACCUAAGUCUGGGUGAGCCUUAGGCAGCUGCACCACUCGCCCUUUGUAGCCCAUCUGAACUCCUGCCACCGUUGCAACAGCCACUCGCAUGAAACACUUGGGGACCGAGUGGUCAGGCAGGUCUCGCCUUUGUGAAACAGAGGAGGAGAACGCACGCCUGGAGAAGUUCGUGCCCAUCUUCCGCUGGAGACUUUCCCGACUCCCGGCUCUGCGCGCGAUGGUUCCGUGGACGCCCUGCUAACGGAGAAAUGCUGAGAAAGCCGACCUUUGGACAGGCACUGCGCUGUUUCUUACACACUUAUCACCUGCUUGAACUUACUUCCCUGAGAACCCCAGGAAGGGGGCAGUUGGGCGGGAAGCGACCGACCAAAGGUGCCAGUGACAUUUCUUCGGUUUCCAGUGUGAAUUACAGAAAACAGCAGCAGUUUCGUGAGUAGCCCUGAUUCUGUUGUCAGAUGACAGGUUAGCUACAGGUGAUUUAAGGUAUUCAAAAGGAAAUGUAUAAGCUCUGUGCAAAAACUCCACCACAUGACACAAAGGCUCGAGCACCCCGGACUGGGA